rnacentral:rRNA from 1 species
CAUGCCUUACACAUGCAAGUCGAACGGCAGCGGGGGAGAAGCUUGCUUUUCCUGCCGGCGAGUGGCGAACGGGUGAGUAAUACAUCGGAACGUGCCCUGUAGUGGGGGAUAACUAGUCGAAAGAUUAGCUAAUACCGCAUACGACCUGAGGGUGGAAGCGGGGGAUCGCAAGACCUCGCGCGAUUGGAGCGGCCGAUAUCAGAUUAGGUAGUUGGUGGGGUAAAGGCCUACCAAGCCUACGAUCUGUAGCUGGUCCGAGAGGACGACCAGCCACACUGGGACUGAGACACGGCCCAGACUCCUACGGGAGGCAGCAGUGGGGAAUUUUGGACAAUGGACGCAAGUCUGAUCCAGCCAUGCCGCGUGCGGGAAGAAGGCCUUCGGGUUGUAAACCGCUUUUGUCAGGGAAGAAAAGGUUCUGGUUAAUACCUGGGACUCAUGACGGUACCUGAAGAAUAAGCACCGGCUAACUACGUGCCAGCAGCCGCCGUAA